GUUGCGUUAAGGAUUGAAAUGGCAUCCUUUUUAAAACGUUUUUAAAUAAAUGUCUUACUUCUUACAUAAGAGAUUUCCACAGUUUGCAAAUACGUAAACUUCGUAAAGACGUUUUAAAAAGAUACAAUGGAAAGCCUGUUAAAAC
rnacentral:sRNA from 1 species